AACGAACGCUGGCGGCAUGCCUAACACAUGCAAGUCGAACGAGACCUCCGGGCCUUGGGGCGCACGGGGGCGUAACGCGUGGGAAUCUGCCCUUGGGUACGGAAUCACUCGCCGAAAGGCGUGCUAAUACCGGAUGAUGACGUAAGUCCAAAGAUUUAUCGCCCAAGGAUGAGCCCGCGUUGGAUUCGCUGGUUGGUGAGGUAAAGGCUGACCAAGGCGACGAUCCAUAGCUGGUCUGAGAGGAUGAUAAGCCACACUGGGACUGAGACACGGCCCAGACUCCUACGCGAGGCAGCAGUGUGGAAUAUUGGACAAUGGGCGAAAGUCUGAUCCAGCCAUGUCCCGUGAGUGAUGAAGGCCUUAGGGUUCUAAAGUUCUUUUACCCGGGACGAUAAUGACCGUACCGGGAGAAUAAGCUCCGGCUAACUCCGUG
rnacentral:rRNA from 1 species